rnacentral:rRNA from 1 species
AUUGAACGCUGGCGGCAGGCUUAACACAUGCAAGUCGAGCGAGCGGCGGCCGGGUGAGUAAUGUCUGGGAAACUGCCUGAUGGAGGGGGAUACCUACUGGAAACGGUAGCUAAUACCGCCUACCCUCAGAUGUUCCCAGAUUGGAUUAGCUAGUAGGUGGGGUAAUGGCUCACCUAGGCCACGAUCCCUAGCUGGUAUGAGAGGAUGACCAGCCACACUGGAACUAAGACACGGUCCAGACUCCUACGGGAGGCAGCAGUGGGGAAUAUUGCACAAUGGGCGCAAGCCUGAGGUAGCCAUGCCGCGUGUGUGAAGAAGGCCUUCGGGUUGUAAAGCACUUUCAGCGAGGAGGCGUUACUCGCAGAAGAAGCACCGGCUAACUCCGUGCCAGCAGCCGCGGUAAUUC